UCUUGCCCAAAGUUUCCCAGCUGGUGAGUGAUGGAGCAAGUGUUCGAAUCCAGGGAGUGUGACCCCAGAGCCCAUGUGUUUACCUUCUGCUUCUGAGUCAACUGAGCAGUAACUUCAAGGAGACCCACCUUCUGGGUCAUGAAGCUGGGGAGAGCGAGUGAAAAAGAGAGGAGGAAGGAUGGUCUGGCCCGGAAGAGAGGCCUUAUGGACAGACGGGGAGGUCAGUGAGGCCUGUUCUUUGCAGAGCGCAGAUCCGGGAUCAACGCGCCUCUGGGUAGAAGUCCUAGCACUGGGUUUCUCGGCAUCACCCUGCCCCUCUGAGGCUCUCCCGGCAUGGCCUACUGCAUUUGCCACAGGAAACAAAGCCUCUUUUAGAAAAAUUCACCCCCUUCGUCCAGUCUCCUCCGAAGAGCCAAACUAAUACUUCCUGAGCACCUACCAUGCGCUUCAGACGCUUCAGCCCAUCUAAUUUCAUCUUUACGACUCUGCAAGCAUGGAAUUACCACCAUCAUCUUAAACAUGAGGGAACAGCCUCAGAGAGGAUAAAAACAUUCACCUGAGGUCACAGAGCUACUAGACAACUGGACAGGGCCAGGACUGAGUGUUCAACCUGAGCUUCCUCCUCAUGUCACACUCCACCUGAGAAUCGGAGGCUGGACCCUGAGUGGGCAGAGGAAAGUGUAGGAGGAGAUGCAUGUAGCACUUCCCUCCAGUUCUCACUGUCACGCUCCAGCUGUGACUCACCUGGCUGCCUUCCUGACAGGCAAGCACCCAGGCUUCACACCUGGACUCACAUCUUCCCACAGCCCAGGCACAGGAUUCCCAGCAGUCAAGCAAGGUUGAGGGAUAGCCAGAAACAUAGCUUUUAGAUUUCCACCUGGAAUUAUAGAUUGAUAAGGAUUAUUAAUGUCAGAUGGGUUUAAAUCAAGGCAGACUCCUGGGAAGAGGGAAGAUCAUGGCCAGUUUUACAAAGCAGUGAAAUUCUUUGUGCAGAAAGGAGGGAGAAGAAAGCCCCAGAGCAGAGAAGGGACUGACCAAAGUUUGCAGAAGUGGACCCAGCACCAUGGGGAGGAGGAUGGGGGCCAGGAAUGACACACACUAUGUGGGGUUCAGCGGCCAUCUGCAGUUCUCCCAUCCAGAGCUCAGCAUCCGGGUCCCUGAGAGGGCUGCAGCAGCCCUCCUCACGUGGUCUACACCACAUUCCUCACAUUCUUUACGCUCAAUUAAGGAGAAAUAAUCAGGGGAGCAAGCAAGGCCACAGCAGGGCCGCCAUGCCCCACGCUGCUGGUAUCACGUGUGCGGAAGCAGCCCCCCCUCGGUCAAGCCAGACCAAACCUUGGACCCAGGGGCGUUGGGGGAAUGAGGAAAGCAAGCAGUGAGAACCAGCAUGUCUCUCUGUGCUCCACAGAGACAAAGGGGAGUGAAGAAGGCAGGCAGGAGGGCGGGCAUCGGGAAAGAAAAGGAAAUGAGAAGGCAAGGUGGAAGCAGAGGGACAGCGUGCAGCAGAAGACUCCAGUCGUCCACUUCUUAAUCAUGUUACUGCCUUACCACGAUCACAGCACUGCAUCACCAUCCACCACCGUCACCAAAUGCCCUUUGACCUGCUCCUGGAUGCUUAGAACGCUAUCCACCUUCAUCAGUUAGUGGCAUGCGUUGACUAAGAAGUAUGGGAACAACACCUCUCUAUGGUCUUCAAAAUACACGGUCUUAGCCUGCAGGGAGAUGCCAUUCUUGACCCCAUGGAACAUCCAUAUUAUUUCCUCCUCUUGGACCCAACAAGCCUGGUCAGCCAAACAAACUCCUACUCCCUGAAGCCUCUGUCCAAGAGCUGCCUUCAAGCCCACCCCCCACCCUAAUCCCCAAAAGGCCUCCCCUGAUGUCCCCAGGACACUCAGAGUCUCUUUCUGGGCUCCCCCUUCACCUGGUGCUGUUUUAUAAUUUUAGGUGUGUAUGUCUAUAUCCCCACUAGAAUAAAUAAUAACUAAAUGAAUGAUCAUUAUUAUUUCUUAAGUAUGUUCUACAUGAAAACAC
ensembl:lncRNA